rnacentral:lncRNA from 1 species
CAGCUCCGCUGUGGGCCGCAGUUAGUUUCGCGUGUACUGAAUCUUACUAGGACAAGUUUGUGGUGCUUUCUCUGACCCCCAACAUUAUUGUAACUCAUUUCGUUACUUUUUGAGAUACAUUUGAGGCCCGUUGGCUACACCCGGCGU